GCCCAACAGCUAGCCCACUUAAGCAAUUCCAACUAACCCCUGUUAAUAACCCCUAAGUACCCCGUAUUUAAAUUAAACAAACCAUUUUUCCCCCUUAGUAUAGGCGAUAGAAAGGGGACAAGGCGCGAUAGAGAAAGUACCGCAAGGGAAUGCUGAAAAAGAAAUGAAACAACCCAGUACAAGCCUUAAAAAGCAGAGAUUCAACCUCGUACCUUUUGCAUCAUGAUUUAGCAAGUGUACAUCAAGCAAAGAGCACUUUAGUUUGACGCCCCGAAACUAAGUGAGCUACUCCAAGACAGCCUAUUAAUAGGGCGUACCCGUCUCUGUGGCAAAAGAGUGGGGGAGAGCUUUGAGUAGAGGUGAUAAACCUACCGAACCUAGUUAUAGCUGGUUGCCCAAGAAAUGAAUAGAAGUUCAGCCUCUUGUCUUCUCUUGUCCCCCUAGUUUAACCCCUAUUGAUGCAUUAAAGAAGUCAAGAGAGUUAGUCAAAGGGGGUACAGCCCCUUUGAAUCAAGACACAACUUUAUCAGGAGGGU
rnacentral:rRNA from 1 species